rnacentral:rRNA from 1 species
CUCGGCUCGUGGGUCGAUGAAGAACGCAGCAAAUUGCGCGUCGACAUGUGAACUGCAGGACACAUGAACAUCGACAUUUCGAACGCACAUUGCGGUCCUUGGAUUUCCAAUCCCGGACCACGCCUGGCUGAGGGUCGGCUAACACACACUCCUGGGCGCGCGAUUGAUGUCGGACGGCACUUCUCGCGCCCGACGUUGGGGGCACGGCGGGCCUCUGUGGCCUUCCGCCGACGCCCUUCAAGUACAUAUGAGUUCCGAGGCGCGCUGGCGCUCGUCCCCCCUCGACGCGGGUCGCCGCCGGGCUUGACACACUCGAUGUCUGAUGCCCGGCCUGCUGCGGCCGCGUGUCGGCGGAGGGGGCCCGCCCCGCCGAAGCUCUCUCUAUGAAAACUGUCCGACCUCAGAU